rnacentral:rRNA from 1 species
GUUAAGUGACUAAGCGUAGCAAGGUGGAUGCCUUGGC